AUUGAACGCUGGCGGCAGGCCUAACACAUGCAAGUCGAACGAGUGGCGGACGGGUGAGUAAUGUCUGGGAAACCGCCUGAUGGAGGGGGAUAACUACUGGAAACGGUAGCUAAUACCGCAUACCAUCGGAUGUGCCCAGAUGGGAUUAGCUUGUAGGUGAGGUAACGGCUCACCUAGGCGACGAUCCCUCGCUGGUCUGCGAGGAUGACCAGCCACACGGGAAGUGAGGCACGGUGCAGACUCCUACGGGAGGCAGCAGUUGGGAAUAUUGCGCAAUGGGCGCAAGUCUGAUGCAGCCAUGCGGCGUGUAUGAAGAAGGCGUUCGGGUUGUAAAGUACUUGCAGCGGGGAGGCGUUACUCGCAGAAGAAGCACCGGCUAACUCCGUGCCAGCAGCCGCGGUAAUUC
rnacentral:rRNA from 1 species